CCAAAUUUUUAUUCCCUCCCAAAAAUUCCAUUCGCUCAAAUUUCAUUCCUCCUAAAAUAACCCUAACUUCUACAUUGCCCCCUUUCUUUACUCCUUACCCCAAUCGAGUUACAAAUCAGUUACUAGUUUCACCCCUGAAGACGAUGAGUAGCAUAGGAAGAGGGUACACAAUCUACCAUAUACAACUUUUAUUUUGCCUGAUGGUAGGGAUUUUCAGAUCGAUUACACCGCUAAAGCCAUUGACAACAGCGGCAACAUCGUCGGGGUUAUUAUUUUAGGGAGUAGAGAAGCAGAUUGCAUUCAACAUGAUGUUUCUUGGAUCUAAUGGUAGAAAUUUUUUUAGGUGCAUCGCCAUUCUGUUCAAGUAGCUCCCCAAAUUACAGAUUCAGUCAGGAUGCUCUUUCUACUCCAGCAUGCACCAUCAUCAGGUCUUAUAUCCCUGAAGCUUCUUUUUCAAUUCUCAUUGGAUCUUGGUUAGAAAUUCGUAUUGGCGGAGGUGGGUUGGUCGUUGUAUUGUAUUCCGACUGGGGAGUAUACCUGGAUCUAUUGUGAAUAGGUAGAUGAAGCUCAGUAGCAGUGGCGUGUUCCGUUUACUAAAACGGAAAACAAGCUGAAAGUCAAGUUUAAUAAACGAUAAAAAAAGUGAACCUAGAUGAAAUCAGGAACAAAUGAAGAACUACAAGCCUACAGAGGAUGACAAUGCUACGGUAGAUCCUUUUUUGGUUGUAAUGAAUAAAGAAAACUAUAGAUAUCGCCGACUUUAUGGUAGAGGCGUUACAAAUACCUUAGUGAAAAAGGUAGAUGGUGCUUGCACAUCAUACAUGAUUCCGGAAGGGCUGAUGGAAUCAUUUAAAGCGAACGUUGAAGUUGAGAAAAACCAGUUGUUGGAAAUGCGUAAAGAAAUUGAAGAAGAUCAUGAAAGAAAAAAGGCUGAGCUGGAAGCUAUGCAAAAAGACAUUGACAGCCAACGACAAAACUUGGAAGCUAUGAUGCAGAAAGUUAUGAAGCGACUGCCUGUUGGAGAUCGAGAUGAGUAGAAUGUUUCAAUUUCUUUUUAUUAUUGUAUUGAAACUUUGUGUUGACCACUUUGUUAUUUAAGUUUGAACAAGUACGUUAAAGUACACUAUUUCUCUAUCAAUGAUAUUUGUUCUAGUGUA